rnacentral:misc_RNA from 1 species
AAAAUUCAAAUGAGGAAUGGAGAAGACCCUGGUAAUAUGAUAUAGCGGGUGACGAUGAUUGAGAACUAAGUGUUUAAGAGAUCAACCAUCUUGUUCUAGCUUCAUGCAAGAAUGACCUGAAAUCAGUAUUUACUGGUUACUUCCUGGAUGUUUUCUUUACCAACUUCAGCAUUGGACUAUUACUAGUGCAGGGAACAGACUUUGUCGUACAUCUAUACAAAGUUUGGCUUUUUAUUGUGUUUCCAAAAUAUGAUUAAAUGAAUUCUCAACACCCUUCCCUAAUGUUGCGGGGAAAAAGAUUAUGGCAGAAAGAAGAAGCCAAUUCUAAAAUGACAGAAAGGGCACUGUGCUUUUCAUAUUGUUAAUUCACAAGCAAGCAAGAGAGUUCUGUUCUUUUUUUGUAUAAAU